UAUAUGUGUGAUUCGUAACCAAUUCAACGAAAAUUUCACAGCGAUAAUCACAACUAAAAAUGUGUGUAGACCAAUGACCCAAAGAAUCCAACCUAGACAAGCAUCAAAACGUAACAGUAGUGUCUAAUCCAAAAAGACCGCAGUAAAAAUCUUCACACACAAUGUAGGUAUACCGUAGACCAAAUAACCAGACGGUAGUCAGAAUUUUACGACAAACGACGACGUAUUAGUAGGCAUUAUCCUAGACCCGGUAACUUAGCGCCACGUGUCGGCUCAACGGUUACAAUCAUUGAAGCGGCUCG
rnacentral:lncRNA from 1 species